rnacentral:rRNA from 1 species
UACGUAGGGGGCAAGCGUUGUCCGGAUUUAUUGGGCGUAAAGAGCGUGUAGGCGGCCAUGUAGGUCCGUUGUGAAAACUCGAGGCUCAACCUCGAGACGCCGAUGGAAACCAUAUGGCUAGAGUCCGGAAGAGGAGAGUGGAAUUCCUGGUGUAGCGGUGAAAUGCGCAGAUAUCAGGAAGAACACCCGUGGCUAAGGCGGCUCUCUAGUACGGUACUGACGCUGAGGCACGAAAGCGUGGGGAGCAAACAGG